rnacentral:lncRNA from 10 species
AGUCCUCCACCUCCAAAGCUCACAGUGACUUUCCUAAGCAGCUUCAUUUCACACGGUUCCCUGUUGUCUGCUUUCUUUUAUGGGUCUGUAAACUCUAGAAGAUUCAGUUAUGCAAAGGAGGUUACAAAUGCUGUCUUUAAAGGAGGGGAGAAGCAGAAAGCACUUUGGGAGGCCGAAGCAUGAUGAUCGCUGGAGGCCAGGAGUUCAAGACCAGCCUGGGCAACAUAGGAAGACCUCAUGUCUACAAAAAUAAAAAAUAGCCACGUGGCAACAUGUGCCUGGACUACGCCUGGAAACCAGAGAAGAUGACCAAUUUCAAAACCAGAGAAGCAACCCUAAUAUGAAGUUCCAAAUGGUGUGGCAGGAAGGUAGCAAGACACCUGGGGCAGAUAACAACGGUUUGAGCACCUGCUCUGUGGCAAGCUGCCUGAAGGGACUUGACACACACUUGCAGACAGUUCUCAGAAAAGUUCAAUAAAUUGCCCAAGGCCAAAGAGCUAGUAAGUUGUGAGCUUGGAUUUGAAGCUGAUUUUUCUCUUCAUUGCAAAGCCCUGGGCAACAGUCUUUUUGCCAUGAAUCGGGAAUAAACAGGAGAGAGCAUGGAGAUGGCAACAGACUCAAUUUAUGAAUGAAAUUCUAUUUUAUUACUUUUAAAUACAGAUAAGGCCAGGCAUGAUGGCUUACACUUGUAAUCCUAGAACUUUGGGAGGCUGAGGCAAGAGAAUUGCUUGAGGUUAGGAGUUCAAGAUCACCUUGGACAACACGGGGGGUUGGUUGGGGAGGGGGAAGAAAGAAAGUGAAAGAAAAAUAAAUACAAAUAAAUACCAAAAGAGACCAGUACACUCUCCAGGGGCAAAUAAUGAAUAAUAUUUCAAAUCACUAUCUUAUUUUUUUCAACUUUAUUGAGCUAUUAUUGAAGUAGAUAAGCUGCACAUAUUUCCAUGUAAAAGUUGGUCAGUUUCGG